GGGGGCGAAACGGGUUCGACGGAGGUAGUGAAGCUUAAGUUGCAUGCCGAGCUCCUUGCAGCUCGUAAAACAGCAAGGAUCUAAAAUAAACGCAGACGAUUAUGCGUACGCCGUAGCCGCUUAAUCGGCUACCGUCCUGUUAGCUUUUUCCCACGAAGCUAACAAGGGCGUCGGGAUGUGGGAUAGCCACUGAAAUGCAGCUCGCGCUUUCGGUGGCGAACAUGAGGCGAGCUAGCUUCUGACGUAUCCGGCGGGCAGGGAGACGUCAGAGGCGAACAUGAGAUCUGCCGCUAAGCAUGUAGAAGCUUAAGUGGAAUGCCUCCGGACGUGGGUUCAACUCCCACCGCCUCCACCA
rnacentral:tmRNA from 1 species